CCCUCAUUUCAGGAGAAUAAUGAACGGAAAGAAAACAAAUUUUUAAGGCAGGGGCAGAUGCUCCUUUUUGAGAAAGGGGGCUGGGGGGGGUGCACACUAUUGAGAAAAGGAGGGGUGC